rnacentral:rRNA from 1 species
GAUGAACGCUGGCGGCGUGCCUAAUACAUGCAAGUCGAGCGAACGGACGAGAAGCUUGCUUCUCUGAUGUUAGCGGCGGACGGGUGAGUAACACGUGGAUAACCUACCUAUAAGACUGGGAUAACUUCGGGAAACCGGAGCUAAUACCGGAUGAUAUUUUGAACCGCAUGGUUCAAAAGUGAAAGACGGUCUUGCUGUCACUUAUAGAUGGAUCCGCGCUGCAUUAGCUAGUUGGUAAGGUAACGGCUUACCAAGGCAACGAUGCAUAGCCGACCUGAGAGGGUGAUCGGCGACACUGGAACUGAGACACGGUCCAUACUCCUGCGGGAGGCAGCAGUAGGGAAUCUUCCGCAGUAGGCGAAAGCCUUGCGGAGCAACGCCGCGUGAGUGAUGAAGGUCUUCGGAUCGUAAAACUCUGUUAUUAGGGAAGAACAUAUGUGUAAGUAACUGUGCACAUCUUGACGGUACCUAAUCAGAAAGCCACGGCUAACUACGUG